rnacentral:lncRNA from 1 species
UCUGGCAGGAUAAGAAGAACUCAUUUGGGCGCAGAGGGCGCCGAGCGCGAGAGCGGGGCCGCCGGGACUAUCGACCUCGUGGCUCGAGCGGCCGACAGACCACUGGAGCGUCCUGCCCGCUCCUGCCGCCCGCGCGCCCUGUCCCGUGCGAGUUGCAGGAACUAAGCCAUUUUAUUUAUUUUGGCCUGGGUGUGUAGUUUUUUCCGGGAGUGCUGAGGCUGGAGCGAGCACACAGAUUGGAAACCUGAGCGCCCAGGGCUCCCAGGGCACACAGACAGGGUGCAGUGCCAGGUGGGGCUGCCUGGGGAGGGCCCCGUUCUCCAGCCCAGCCCGGGAGAGCUGUAGCUCCGUGGCGUCAGUUUUCUCCCGGGUCGUGUGGCGUCCGCUGACCCAGUCAUCAAUUCACUUUUCAUGGUUUGGGGGGGGGGAGGGGAUGCGGGGGGAGAGGUCAGAUGAAAAUAUUUCCACUUUUCCGCGAGGCGCUAAAUCCAUCCUGAGAUUCUGAUUCGAGGCGUGAACUUUUAACUUAGGAAAGCCCUCGUCGCCCACCUGUCCGGGAGGCGCCAGGAUGGCAAAGCCACACAGUGCCGCUCCCCAGCCAAAUGUCACCCCCAACCUGGGAUGGCGCCAGGGCCGCGGGUCUGGCCUCUGCUGCUCCCUCGCAGGGCACGCUUCAUCCGGGGGUGACCCGCAUCCACGUGGGCGCGAGUGUGGGGAUGCCCCAGCGGGGGAGGGGGCGGACAGGUCUCGGAACCUGCGGGGACUUCACUCGACUGGGAACACUCGGGCUUCCCCGGGAGCAGCCGGCGGAUGACAAUAGCUGGCCCUGGAUGUCUUCCUCCAAUGUGCAAUCUUUUAUGACUAAGUGCGCGAGGAAAGGACAGCCCGCAUCGGCCUCGCUGGCGCACAAUGAGAGAGCGACGACCCGCGCACUAAAAGCACUCGCCGCGACCCCCGAACAGCGAGCGCAGAGGGGCACAGAAAGUUGCGCUCGGAGACUCUCGGCUCGCCGGGGAAGGCGCAGGGCAGCGCCCGGAGAAGGGGCGCCCGAGGAGCGCCCGCCAGCAGCAGCGCGGCGCCGGG